GGAUUAGAUACCCUGGUAGUCCACACCGUAAACGCUGUCUACUAGCUGUUUGUGUAUUAUAUACGUGAGUAGCGAAGCUAACGCGCUAAGUAGACCGCCUGGGGAGUACGGCCGCAAGGUUAAAACUCAAAUGAAUUGACGGGGGCCCGCACAAGCGGUGGAGCAUGUGGUUUAAUUCGAUGCAACGCGAAGAACCUUACCUACUCUUGACAUCCAGAAAAUUUGGCAGAGAUGCCUCAGUGCCUUCGGGAAUUCUGAGACAGGUGCUGCAUGGCUGUCGUCAGCUCGUGUUG
rnacentral:rRNA from 1 species